UACGUAGGGCGCAAGCGUUGUCCGGAAUUAUUGGGCGUAAAGGGCGCGUAGGUGGCGACCCAAGUCGAUGGUGAAAGCUCGCCGCUCAACGGCGAGUCUGCCACUGAUACUGGGUUGCUGGAGCACUGUAGAGGCAGAUGGAAUUCCGGGUGUAGCGGUGGAAUGCGUAGAGAUCCGGAAGAACACCGGUGGCGAAGGCGGUCUGCUGGGCAGUUGCUGACACUGAGGCGCGACAGCGUGGGGAGCAAACAGG
rnacentral:rRNA from 1 species